rnacentral:rRNA from 1 species
CGGCGGACGGGUGAGUAACACGUGGGUAACCUACCUAUAAGACUGGGACAACUUCGGGAAACCGGAGCUAAUACCGGAUAAGAUAUCGAACCGCAUGGUUCGAUAGUGAAAGAUGGUUUUGCUAUCACUUAUAGAUGGACCCGCGCCGUAUUAGCUAGUUGGUGAGGUAACGGCUCACCAAGGCAACAUACGUAGCCGACCUGAGAGGGUGAUCGGCCACACUGGAACUGAGACACGGUCCAGACUCCUACGGGAGGCAGCAGCC